UACGGAGGGGGCUAGCGUUGUUCGGACUUACUGGGCGUAAAGGGCGCGUAGGCGGGCGAUCAAGUCAGGGGUGAAAGGCCUGGGCUCAACCUGGGAAUUGCCUUUGAAACUGAUUGUCUAGAGUCCGGAAGAGGAUGGCGGAAUUCCCAGUGUAGAGGUGAAAUUCGUAGAGAUUGGGAAGAACACCAGUGGCGAAGGCGGCCAUCUGGUCCGGUACUGACGCUGAGGCGCGAAAGCGUGGGGAGCAAACAGG
rnacentral:rRNA from 1 species